rnacentral:rRNA from 1 species
GACGAACCGUGCGAACGUUGUUCGGAAUCACUGGGCUUAAAGGGCGCGUAGGCGGGUGACCAAGUCAGGGGUGAAAUCUUUCGGCCCAACCGGAAAAGUGCCUCUGAUACUGGUCGUCUUGAGGGAGGUAGGGGUCGAGGGAACUGGUGGCGGAGCGGUGAAAUGCGUUGAUAUCUGGAGGAACACCGGUGGCGAAGGCGGCAUCCUGGACCAAUACUGACGCUGAGGAGCGAAAGCCAGGGGAGCAAACGGG